GGAGUUGUGGCUCAGUGGUAGAGUGCUCACCUGGCAUGUGUGAGGUACUGGUUUCAAUCUUUAGCACCA
rfam:Ictidomys tridecemlineatus contig101928, whole genome shotgun sequence.